UGGGGAAUAUUGGACAAUGGGCGCAAGCCUGAUCCAGCCAUGCCGCGUGAGUGAUGAAGGCCUUAGGGUUGUAAAGCUCUUUCGCCGGUGAAGAUAAUGACGGUAACCGGAGAAGAAGCCCCGGCUAACUUCGUGCCAGCAGCCGCGGUAAUACGAAGGGGGCUAGCGUUGCUCGGAAUCACUGGGCGUAAAGCGCACGUAGGCGGAUCGUUAAGUCAGGGGUGAAAUCCUGGAGCUCAACUCCAGAACUGCCCUUGAUACUGGCGAUCUCGAGUUCGAGAGAGGUUGGUGGAACUCCGAGUGUAGAGGUGAAAUUCGUAGAUAUUCGGAAGAACACCAGUGGCGAAGGCGGCCAACUGGCUCGAUACUGACGCUGAGGUGCGAAAGCGUGGGGAGCAAAACAGGAUUAGAUACCCUGGUAGUCCACGCCGUAAAACGAUGGAUGCUAGCCGUUGGGGGGUUUACCUCUCAGUGGCGCAGCUAACGCCUUAAGCAUCCCGCCUGGGGAGUACGGUCGCAAGAUUAAAAACUC
rnacentral:rRNA from 1 species